rnacentral:rRNA from 1 species
AUUGAACGCUGGCGGAAUGCUUUACACAUGCAAGUCGAGCGGCAGCGCGGCCUUCGGGCUGGCGGCGAGCGGCGAACGGGUGAGUAAUGCAUCGGAACAUGCCCAGUCGUGGGGGAUAACACUUCGAAAGAAGUGCUAAUACCGCAUACGUCCUGAGGGGGAAAGCGGGGGAUCGCAAGACCUCGCGCGAUUGGAGUGGCCGAUGUCAGAUUAGCUAGUUGGUGGGGUAAAGGCCUACCAAGGCGACGAUCUGUAGCUGGUCUGAGAGGAUGAUCAGCCACACUGGGACUAAGACACGGCCCAGACUCCUACGGGAGGCAGCAGUGGGGAAUUUUGGACAAUGGGGGCAACCCUGAUCCAGCCAUUCCGCGUGAGUGAAGAAGGCCUUCGGGUUGUAAAGCUCUUUCGGCAGGAACGAAACGGUGGGCUCUAACAUAGUCCGCUAAUGACGGUACCUGAAGAAGAAGCACCGGCUAACUACGUG